UUAGAUGUAAAGAUCAACGGGGAAGGGGAGAGAGACUGCUUUUUAGCUGUGUGAUCUCUGGAAAAUUAAUUAAAGUCCCUGAGCCAGUUUCUCAUCUGAAAAAUGGGGAUAGUAAUUAAAAGCUAUCCCACAGGGCUGACAGGGGGAUGAAAACGGAUAAUAAAUAGAAAGUAUUUAGCACUGUGUCUAGUUUCUCAUAAAACUGAAUAAAUGGCAGCUGCGGCUAUCAUCAUCAUCAUCCUCAUCAUUUCUCUAGACAUCAAAUACAAAGAUUUAUUAAGCCAUUACGAAUUGGGAGUGGUGUGGAUCCAAGAAUAAAGGCUCCUGCUCUCAAGGACCUCCCUAUGUAGCUGUUUUAAACCAACUCAGGGCAGAUUAUUUGCUCCUUAAAAAAUGUUCCCACAUAACGCAACAAAGGUCAAAGAUAAAUACUCAUCUAAAGAAAAUCUGAGACAGUAUAAAUAGAGAUGCAAUUAGAAUCAAUGGAGGGUUUCCACCUGCUAUCAUAUUUCUGUUGAAGGAUCCUUUUUUUUUCUUUGCUAGGACACACUGGGAAAGUGUGAGAGGGGUGGCUAAGAUGGCUCUAAGCCAAAUCCACCUAGAAAUAGACCAGCCCCUGGCAGAGGAUUAGAAAAGAGGAAACUAAAAGGAUAAGGAAAAAAAAUUAUUAGAACCACAGAUAAACAAAAAUUUCUGGUGCUUGAGGAGCAGACCAAAGUGAAACCCCACCUCGAGCUCUAUGAUCCAGGGAAUUAACCCGGGUGUGAGAACGCAGGCCCACAGGGCUUGUGGUGAGUGAGAGGGUCAAUUCCCCACAGCUUGAUCCAGCAGUGGAAGCUUAGCACGCAGAACAGUGUUACAGAAUAACAACAAAGAGAAAAGGUGAUCAGAAAAAAAAUGAACGGAUGUUUUUUUCCUUGGUGUAAGAUUACUGUGACAAACACAGAAUUCAGAACCCAGCUGGAGAGAGAAAGUUUAUUUCCAGACUGGAGAAAAGAACAAGGAGAAGAAAAUUUCUACCAAUCAAACAAGCUUUUCAAGGUGGUUUUGCUGGCCCUGACAAAAGCGUGUACAGAAAAGCCACCACUCUCACAGCCUCAGUUUACAUUCACAGAAGGCAGCUGGGUGGUGAGGUCCCUGUAAUAAGAGGAGGAAGAUGAGAUCGAGAGUCAAAUUCUAACAGAUUCAGAUGCUCCCUGCAGACUGCUGCCUCCACCCCCUACAUUAAGACCAAGGACACUCUCACAGAAGAUCUAAAGGAGGAGACCCUGAUGAAUUGGGAGUUUAAAAUACAAAUGGAACUUCCUUUGUCAGUCUUGAUUUGUUUUAUUAACAUCUGAAGGUUGAUUUAUAACAGAUUACCAAGCAGGAGAGAACUGUUUGUACAAUCACUUUACUUAACACCCACAAUUAGAAAAAACAAACAUUCAAAAAUGUUUCCUUUCUAUGGGCUAAUGGAUGGCACAUUCAGUUCUAAAAUAGUCACUUCCAUCUCUGUCAUCUAUUGUAGCAACCAAGGACAGGCGUACUCUAUCUCAAGACCACAGAAAAACAUUCUCUGCAAAAUGAAGGUUUCAGAGACCUAGUUUUUCCAUGAACACAACAAAAGUUCCUAUACAAGGAUAUUUGUGGUAAUGAUGAGAGCUCUGAUGGUGGAAUCAGAUGGAGCUCAAAUCCUGUUUCAACUUGUAUAAGCUUUGUGACCUUGAGUAAGUUAUUUAACCUAAGCCUCCGUUUUGUCAUCUAUAAAAAUGGAAAUAUUAAGAACCAUUGUGACUGAUGUGAGGAUGAAAUGAGACAAUGAAUGUGCUGUCUGACAUUAUAAGGAUUCAAUAAACAGCAGCUGUUAUAUGACAA